UGGGGAAUAUUGGACAAUGGGCGCAAGCCUGAUCCAGCCAUGCCGCGUGAGUGAUGAAGGCCCUAGGGUUGUAAAGCUCUUUCACCGGUGAAGAUAAUGACGGUAACCGGAGAAGAAGCCCCGGCUAACUCCGUGCCAGCAGCCGCGGUAAUACGAAGGGGGCUAGCGUUGUUCGGAUUUACUGGGCGUAAAGCGCACGUAGGCGGACUUUUAAGUCAGGGGUGAAAUCCCGGGGCUCAACCCCGGAACUGCCUUUGAUACUGGAAGUCUUGAGUAUGGUAGGGGUGAGUGGAAUUCCGGGUGUAGAGGGGAAAUUCGUAGAUAUUCGGAGGAACACCAGUGGCGAAGGCGGCUCACUGGACCAUUACUGACGCUGAGGUGCGAAAGCGUGGGGAGCAAACAGG
rnacentral:rRNA from 1 species